GAUGAACGCUGGCGGCGUGCUUAACACAUGCAAGUCGAACGGUGAAGGCGGAGCUUGCUCUGCUGGAUCAGUGGCGAACGGGUGAGUAACACGUGAGCAAUCUGCCCCUGACUCUGGGAUAAGCGCUGGAAACGGCGUCUAAUACUGGAUACGAGCUGCGAAGGCAUCUUCAGCUGCUGGAAAGAACUUCGGUCAGGGAUGAGCUCGCGGCCUAUCAGCUUGUUGGUGAGGUAACGGCUCACCAAGGCGUCGACGGGUAGCCGGCCUGAGAGGGUGACCGGCCACACUGGGACUGAGACACGGCCCAGACUCCUACGGGAGGCAGCAGUGGGGAAUAUUGCACAAUGGGCGAAAGCCUGAUGCAGCAACGCCGCGUGAGGGACGACGGCCUUCGGGUUGUAAACCUCUUUUAGCAGGGAAGAAGCGAAAGUGACGGUACCUGCAGAAAAAGCGCCGGCUAACUACGUG
rnacentral:rRNA from 1 species